rnacentral:rRNA from 2 species
UACGGAGGAUCCAAGCGUUAUCCGGAUUCAUUGGGUUUAAAGGGUGCGUAGGCGGACUGAUAAGUCAGCGGUGAAAUCUCUCGGCUUAACCGAGAAACUGCCGUUGAUACUGUCAGUCUUGAGUACAGAUGAUGUGGGCGGAAUAUGACAUGUAGUGGUGAAAUACUUAGAUAUGUCAUAGAACACCGAUUGCGAAGGCAGCUCACAAAACUGUCACUGACGCUGAGGCACGAAAGCGUGGGGAUCAAACAGG